AUGGGAGCCGACAUCCGCCACAACAAGGACCGAAAGUUUUGGCCCAAAGAGCCCAAGAGCCAGAACAUUUACCUGAGGCUGUUGGUCCAGCUGUACAGGUUUCUGGCCAGAAGAACCAACUCCACCUUCAACCAGGUUGUGCUGAAGAGGUUGUUUAUGAGCCGCAGCAACCGGCUGCCUCUGUCCCUUUUCCGGAUGAUCUGGAAGAUGAAGCUUCCUGGCCAGGAAAACAAGACGGCGGUGGUCAUAGGGACCAAAACAGAUGACGUGUGGAUUUAGGAGGUGCCCCAACCGAAGGUAUGCACACUGCAUGUGAGCAGCCGGGCCCGCAGCCGCAUCCUCAAGGCAGGGGGCAAGAUCCUCACCUUUGACCAGCUGGCCCUGGACUCCCCCAAGGGCCACGGCACCGUCCUGCUCUCUGGUCCUCGCAAGGACUGGGAGGUAUACAGGCAUUUCGGCAAGGAUCCAGGAACCCCACACAGCCACACCAAACCCUACGUCCGCUCCAAGAGCCAGAAGUUCGAGCGUGCCAGAGGCCGGCGGGCCAGCCGUGGCUACAAAAACUAACCCUGGAUCCUGCCCUCUUAUUAAAAAGUUUUUGGAUGUCCC